rnacentral:lncRNA from 1 species
UUUCUUUGCCCCUUCCGCCUUCCGGAUGGAUGAAAGCAGAAGCAGUGGCUGGAGCUAGAGCAGCUAUUUAGGACUAUGAGAUGGAAGAAAUGUGGUGACAAUAGCAGAACAAAAAUAUAGAAAUCUUGGGUACUUGAUGACCACGGAGCCGCCAUACAAACUCUGGACUAUAAUUUCCAGAGACUGUUUAUGUCUAUCUGAACUUUUUCUCCAGAGAAUGAAGAUACUGUCAUUACCUCUGCAAAGAAUGCAUCCUAGCACAGAUCAAAGAUCUUCCAAGUCCAGCCACACCAUUUUACAGUUCUGAACCUCGACUUAGGAAAGCAGUGGAUCUUUAUACAUUUGACACAUCCCUUCCCUCUAGGAUCUCUGUGGCUAUUGAAAAUGGACUGGAGAAGAUGAGUGGGAGUGAGAAGAGGAUAACAGAAUCAGAUAAAAACCUGUCAUGUUACUAAGAGCAGGAGAUGAGGCAGCCUGGACCAAGAUGGUGGCAGAGAGAAGAAAAUUGCUUGAGAGAAUUGAUUAAACUACUUGGUUAGCACAGAUAGAGCUGAAUCAAAAAUUAGGAUGGUAAGCUAAGUAAUUUUACACACAAAAAGGCAGAGUUGCAUUCAUAAUUAGUCUCUCCUUCAGACUGAAUAUUACAGACAAAAUAUAGCCAUUGGUGUUGCAAUCACUUCCUUUGGGUUUGUAUCCAAGGUUAAGAAUGUCAGCAUCCAAAGACCCAAAUUCUUAAUGUUUUUAGUUGAUAAAGUUUAUUCAAGGUAGACAGCCUGUGUUGAAUAACUUAGUCUUCCACAAAUUUCAAGAAAAAUCCAUUGUCCCUCUUCUCCGCCACAGACACACUUUAGUUGAACAUUAAGCAUAUUUAUUAAAGAAACAUUCUCCUUGUGCUUUUUCUCCCAAGAUGGAUGGUGUUCUUACUUAGAGUUAUAAGUGUCAGAAUAAAAAUGCCCAUGAGGUUGAAUUGUAUGAUGUUAUAGUAAAGUGAGAUAAACAUUCUCAGAAACAUGAUUGUGACUUAAAAAAAAAAAAAACCAACAAACCACUUUCUGUAGAGGAAUUAUGCUUUGGGGACAG